rfam:Erysipelothrix larvae strain LV19 chromosome, complete genome.
UCUGGUGAUUCUAGCGAAGUGGUCACACCUGUUCCCAUCCCGAACACAGUAGUUAAGCACUUUAGCGGCGACAAUAGCUAUGCCUGCCAUAGUUAAGAUAGCUCAUUGCCAGUU